AUUGAACGCUGGCGGAAUGCUUUACACAUGCAAGUCGAACGGCAGCACGGGUGCUUGCACCUGGUGGCGAGUGGCGAACGGGUGAGUAAUGCACCGGAACGUAUCCAAUAAUGGGGGAUAACGCACCGAAAGGUGUGCUAAUACCGCAUACGCCCUGAGGGGGAAAGCGGGGGAUCGUAAGACCUCGCGUUAAUGGAGCGGCCGAUGCCGGAUUAGCUAGUUGGUGAGGUAAAGGCCUACCAAGGCGACGAUCCGUAGCGGGUCUGAGAGGAUGAUCCGCCACACUGGGACUGAGACACGGCCCAGACUCCUACGGGAGGCAGCAGUGGGGAAUUUUGGACAAUGGGCGGAAGCCUGAUCCAGCCAUGCCGCGUGAGUGAAGAAGGCCUUCGGGUU
rnacentral:rRNA from 1 species